CGGGGCUUAAAGUCUUGUAAUUGGAAUGAUGGGAAUUUAAACCUCUUCCAGAGUAUCAAUUGGAGGGCAAGUCUGGUGCCAGCAGCCGCGGUAAUUCCAGCUCCAAUAGCGUAUAUUAAAAUUGUUGCAGUUAAAAAGCUCGUAGUUGAAUUUCUGCUGCAUUGCUUGUGUCCCUUUGGGGUCUGUGCAUGUGGCUUUUUUCGGACGGAGUUUCUUUGUCUGAAUGUUUACUUUGAGAAAAUUAGAGUGCUCAAAGCAGGCUUUCGCCUUGAAUAGUUUAGCAUGGAAUAAUAAAGUAGGACUUUGGUUCUAUUUUGUUGGUUUUAGGUACCAAAGUAAUGGUUAAUAGGAACAGUUGGGGGCAUUCGUAUUUAACUGUCAGAGGUGAAAUUCUUAGAUUUGUUAAAGACGAACUACUGCGAAAGCAUUUGCCAAGGAUGUUUUCAUUAAUCAAGAAC
rnacentral:rRNA from 1 species